CCUACGGGCGGCAGCAGUGAGGAAUAUUGGUCAAUGGACGAGAGUCUGAACCAGCCAAGUAGCGUGAAGGAUGACUGCCCUAUGGGUUGUAAACUUCUUUUAUAUGGGAAUAAAAUGUUCCACGUGUGGGCUUUUGUAUGUACCAUAUGAAUAAGGAUCGGCUAACUCCGUGCCAGCAGCCGCGGUAAUACGGAGGAUCCGAGCGUUAUCCGGAUUUAUUGGGUUUAAAGGGAGCGUAGGGGGAUUGUUAAGUCAGUGGUAAAAGUUUGGGGCUCAACGGGGAAAAUGCGGUGAAAAUGGGGGUCUUGAGUGAGCGAGAAGUAUGCGGAAUGCGUGGUGUAGCGGUGAAAUGCAUAGAGAUCACGAAGAACUCCGAUUGCGAAGGCAGCACACCGGACUGCAACUGACGCUGAGGCACGAAAGUGUGGGUAUCGAACAGGAUUAGAUACCCGUGUAGUC
rnacentral:rRNA from 1 species